rnacentral:rRNA from 1 species
UGCGUAGGUGGUUUCUUAAGUCAGGAGUGAAAGGCUACGGCUCAACCGUAGUAAGCUCUUGAAACUGGGAAACUUGAGUGCAGGAGAGGAAAGUGGAAUUCCUAGUGUAGCGGUGAAAUGCGUAGAGAUCUGGAGGAAUACCGGUGGCGAAGGCGGCCCCCUGGACGAAGACUGACGCUCAGGUGCGAAAGCGUGGGGAACAAACA